rnacentral:rRNA from 1 species
AACGCCGCGUGAGGGACGACGGCCUUCGGGUUGUAAACCUCUUUUAGUAGGGAAGAAGCGAUGUGCUUGUCACAUCAUGACGGUACCUGCAGAAAAAGCACCGGCUAACUACGUGCCAGCAGCCGCGGUAAUACGUAGGGUGCAAGCGUUAUCCGGAAUUAUUGGGCGUAAAGAGCUCGUAGGCGGUUUGUCGCGUCUGCUGUGAAAACUGGAGGCUCAACCUCCAGCCUGCAGUGGGUACGGGCAGACUAGAGUGCGGUAGGGGAGAUUGGAAUUCCUGGUGUAGCGGUUUUUUGCUCAGAUAUCAGGAGGAACACCAAUGGCGAAGGCAGAUCUCUGGGCCGUAACUGAUYKYUKWKKAGCGAAAGCAUGGGGAGCGAACAGGAUUASAUACCCUGGUAGUCCAUGCCGUAAACGUUGGGAACUAGAUGUASGGACCAUUCCACGGUUUCUGUGUCGCAGCUAACGCAUUAAGUUCCCCGCCUGGGGAGUACGGCCGCAAGGCUAAAACUCAAAGGAAUUGACGGGGGCCCGCACAAGCGGCGGAGCAUGCGGAUUAAUUCGAUGCAACGCGAAGAACCUUACCAAGACUUGACAUAUACGAGAACGGGCUAGAAAUAGUUCACUCUUUGGACACUCGUAAACAGGUGGUGCAUGGUUGUCGUCAGCUCGUGUCGUGAGAUGUUGGGUUAAGUCCCGCAACGAGCGCAACCCUCGUUCUUUGUUGCCAGCACGUAAUGGUGGGAACUCAAAGGAGACUGCCGGGGUCAACUCGGAGGAAGGUGGGGAUGACGUCAAAUCAUCAUGCCCCUUAUGUCUUGGGCUUCACGCAUGCUACAAUGGCCGAUACAAAGGGCUGCAAUACCGCAAGGUGGAGCGAAUCCCAAAAAGUCGGUCUCAGUUCGGAUUGAGGUCUGCAACUCGACCUCAUGAAGUCGGAGUCGCUAGUAAUCGCAGAUCAGCAACGCUGCGGUGAAUACGUUCCCGG